UACGAAGGGUGCAAACGUUGCUCGGAAUCAUUGGGCGUAAAGCGCACGUAGGCGGCUUCGCAAGUCGGAUGUGAAAUCCCGUGGCUCAACCAUGGACGUGCAUCCGAAACUGCGAGGCUUGAGUAUGGAAGAGGGUCGCGGAAUUCCCGGUGUAGAGGUGAAAUUCGUAGAUAUCGGGUGGAACACCAGUGGCGAAGGCGCCUGUCUGGCUGACAACUGACGCUGAGACUCGAAAGCAUGGGGAGCAAACAGG
rnacentral:rRNA from 1 species